CGGACGGGUGAGUAACGCGUAGGAACCUAUCGCACAGUGGGGGAUAACACGGGGAAACCGGUGCUAAUACCGCAUGUGGUCAGAGAUGAAGAAAGCAGCAAUGCGCUGUGUGAGGGGCCUGUGUCCGAUUAGCUAGUUGGUGGGGUAAAGGCCUACCAAGGCGACGAUCGGUAGCUGGUCUGAGAGGAUGGUCAGCCACACUGGGACUGAGACACGGCCCAG
rnacentral:rRNA from 1 species